rnacentral:lncRNA from 1 species
AGAGGCGGAAGCGGUGUCGCUCUGAGGGGUCGCCAGUCGCCGCAGGCGCUUCAGCCCAGCGGCGGGCCUUGGCCCUUGGCUGCCUACUCCUACCGCCCCAGCCCCGGGCGGCCCUGGGCCUGCUGCGGGCGCGGCGCUGCCCGACCAGAGCUUCCUGUGGAACGUCUUCCAGAGGGUCGAUAAAGACAGGAGUGGAGUGAUAUCAGACACCGAGCUUCAGCAAGCUCUCUCCAACGGUGAGUGGGCCAGUGGGAACUGGGUCUCCGGACCAAGAAGCCGUGAGCCUGCCCUGUUCACAGUGGAUAACUUUCUGAAGUUGUUUUUCCAAGGACAAAGGAAUCAUUAGGACAAAUUGUUAAUACUGCUUCAUGGUGGAGAUGCUUCUGGUUUAUUUUGUGGCUACCGCUGUUACUGCUUGGAGUGCCUCACCGAGCCAGGCACGUGGACUCCCUUUAAUCCAGUGACUGUCAGGUCGAUCAUAUACUACACUGAAGGCUGGUUACGCUCUUAUGUGCAAUAGAACCUCAAACACAUCGUAACACACCUUUGGAGAAUCCUUACAAGAACACCAAGUUAACAGUUAUCUCUGACCACACUACCUCAGCAAAAAACCAGGAAGAAAAAAUAUUCUUCAACCCUUUUCAGGGACAGAAAGCAUCAUUUCAAAAGUCCAAGAAGGGAAGCAAAACUUCUGACCUGAGACAUCGAAGCAGAUAAAAAGCCGCUACACAAAAUGUAUCGCUACAACUAGAGGGCAGUCUUGCCUUUCUUCCAUUCAAUUAUUCAGUUUCUCAUGUUCCUAAGUGCCAGCCCAGAACCAUGGAAUGUGAAGAAACACAAAACUCACUCCUCUGCAUCAGUGAAUUGAUUGUGUGGUGGGGAUGUAAGUCUGCAUGUGACUGACAGUUCCCCAAAGUGGUGCCAAGUCAAUCUAAACUAGAGAGAAUUUCUGGCCAGGCCAAGCAGAGAUUUCAUGGAUGAAGUCUCCCAAAGACUGAUUUCCUAAACAUUAAACAUCACUGGUUUUCCAAAA